GGCAUCCAGGUUAUGUAUUUGAUGUCCACUCAGUCACGCUCGUUCACUAGAUCGAAGAUGGCUAGUCCAUCUGGCAAGGAUUGACAUCAGCGCACUGUGAUAUAGAUCAAAGUUACCAUCAAAGUGCUAACAGAAUGUUUCACCACGCCAUGUCUUUCCCCAUUGUCAAACCGAAUAUCAACGAUCAAUUACACCACUCUCAUACAACAAACAUACGGGAGGAGCAUUGCUCAAUCUUCCUCUCUCUCACCCUGCUCAGUUAAUCCCGUGGAGCCAGAACAUGCUUCCAAAAGCCUGAUUAAUCUCCCUCAUAUACAUACUGCGUAAGGGAGGGAAAAAAGAAAGAAAGAAAGAAAGAAAAACCCAUCCAAUCACUCCUCGGAUCGAGAAGUGCUGUCACCAUGUAUUAUACUGUACGUACAGUACCGCGCACAAACUCCUGUAUCCAAACCCUCCCCUCUCCUUCACCAUGAAAAGCUCUAGACACGAUAUGAAGAUUUCUUCUUCUUCUUCUCUUUCUUCUUCUUCUUCCUCCCCGUCCUCUCCUUGAUCCAACUUGCUUGAAAAGCACCUCUCCCGGAUCGACUUUGUUUCAGCCAAGAACCCAGCCCCGGGCCCGGGCCCGCCCUUUACGAUUUGAAUUGAAGAAAUAGACCUCUGUCCGUGGUUCCUGACCUCAUAUAUCUCGUUUCUCCGCCAAGUUUUUACUUCCUAAGUAGGGGGGUUCAUGGACGUGGAGAUUGAUCUACAUUUUAUUUUAUAAUCUAUGUAGGAGCGUUGAGAACGGGAGAAACAGGGGGGGGGGAGGGAAUGUAUGUAUGUAUAUAUAUAUAAUGAAAUCAA
rnacentral:sRNA from 1 species